GAUUAUAAAGUAUAUUAUAAAGUAUAUCGACAAAAAGCCGCGCGCCACGGUCCUCUGUCUGUGUAUGUGUUCAUUCGUGUUUCGGCCCAACAUCCAAUCAAAUUAGAGCCACGUUUGAUUGAUGUGACAGCCCAACCAAUCAAAUUGCAGAAAAACAAAGCCCCGCCUCCCCUUCAAAAGCGCGAGUUCCUGUUUGCCGGUGUUAUUAGUUCUGGCAUAAAAGUUUAUAGAUCGUCAACAACAAACUGUUUGCAGUUCGAAGAGCAUGUGGAUAUAAGGAUUACUCACAGAAAUUCAACAUCAACCAACUUCAUCUGACUGUAGGAGCAGCAAAAUCAAGUAAAUAGAAUCUUGCAUAUUGAACAGAAUCAAAGGACUGACGCUUGACCCCUUUCAGGUUAGUUUAUUGUUGUUUUUUUUUGGCUGCUAACAGUUUAAAGUUACAAAUGCUUUUAAAAUUUAGCAAGAAACAAAAGCAGUAGUUUUCAGGUGUGUCAACCCCCUCACCACCUCUUGUUACCUGGUGCUACCAGAGCAGUGGGCGGAGUCGGGCUACAGGGUGAACGAGGGAAAAAAUUCAUCACUGCCGUUAUGAAGGAUUAUUGUUUUCCAACGAGGACAAUGUGCAACAUGAACAAACAUUUGAAAUUGAUAGUUUGUUUUUUUUUCCUCAGAGUGACACCUCCUGUCACAGCUCAGCACAACACGCUUGAUAUUAAGAAGAAAGGAGGAGAAGCAGUCCCACAGCCCCGGGAUGGAGGUUAACAGUCACAGUGGGGGCAAAUCCACAGCAGGGGUAGUGUGGCUUCAGCUUGGGCUGAAAUCAUGAGGCGAGGUGGGGGCAGGGGGAGAUAAAAGCAGCACUUUACCCCACCACAUUAAAAUCUAGGAAGUAAAAGCCAAUCUCAGCCUGCGGACCGUUGGCUCAGGUGAUGGGGCGGAGCCUCAGCUGUGUGCAGUCGGGGGCGAGGCUCAUGGCUCAGAGUCCAGACCAUCAAGUGUGAGCUGGCUGCGGUGGGGCGAAUUUGGGCUGGGCGGGGUGCUGGGGUUGGAGCUGUUGGAGGGGGUCGAGUGUUUGGUGGAGUCUGAGUCCGGCUGAGGGAGAGAGAGAGAAGAAAGGUGAGUUUCUGGUUUCAGGUGGGGGAUGGAAACAGGAAAACGGUUUGUUUUUUUGCUGUCCACAAGAUCAUUUCAACAACUAACAAUCCUAACGGUGCAUUCACACUGAGGCGUCAACCUCUCUCUUUUGACGGCGGACCGACUGCUGAAGAACUUCAUACGUUGACAUCAUAAAAAAAAAACAUGGAUGAUGUUGAGUGAUGUUGUGUUUCUAUGUUUUUGAGAGCUCUACAGAGGCACUGGCGAGGACGUGGCCGUGUCCGAGUUCACCAGAUCAUUCUCUUUAGAGUCUCUCUCGCAGCUAACACACAGCUCACAAACAGCACAUAGCGCGCAGCUGACGCGUUGGCUCGCGACCAGCGGAUUGCUUGCAGCAGCUCGCAGCUAGCGGAUUGUUCGCAGCCUGUGCAUGGCUCGCAGCUAGCACUAGGCUCAGAGUUAGCACUUGGCUCACAGCUAGCGCAUAGCUCACAGCUAGCACUAGGCUCAGAGUUAGCACUUGGCUCACAGCUAGCGCAUGGCUCGCAGCUAGCACUAGGCUCGCAGCUAGCGGACUGCUCGCAACAGCUCACAGCUAGCACUAGGCUCGGAGUUAGCACUUGGCUCACAGCUAGCGCAUGGCUCGCAGCUAGCGCAUGGCUCGCAGCUAGCACUAGGCUCAGAGUUAGCACUUGCCUCACAGCUAGCGCAUGGCUCGCAGCUAGCGGACUGCUCGCAACAGCUCGCAGCUAGCAUUAGGCUCGCAGCUAGCGGACUGCUCGCAACAGCUCGCAGCUAGCACUAGGCUCGCAGCUGGCAGAUUGCUUGCAGCUAGCUCACAGCUAGCGAAGCUCCACUGAAGCCAGGCAGAGACAGGAGACCUGCAGCAGCUGUUGUCCCGUUACAACGGCAGCGUUGUACCCCUGUGUGACGGCGAUCUCUUGCUCUACCGGACCCUGUGUGGCAGAUCUUGCUGCGCAGUCCUUCGGGCGGCUGGCUAUCAUAGCAGGCUCUUUUGUUCCAGUUCCAAGCUGGCGACCCGUCCAGGGAGUAUCACUCAACAGUAACAAGACAGUCUCCGGCAAACUCGCGGGUUAAGAAAAUGAAUGGAAUUUCAGGGAAAAAAAUCCUCACAUCGCGCCGCCACAUUGAGUUAACUUUUCUUCUCUUUGAUCUAGUCACUGAAAACAUCACGUGCUCAAAGCUGAGUCUCUGACUGGUUGACGUGGUGUGUCAAGCUCGCCGCGUUGCGGCAGAUCGUGUCCUUACAUUGACUUAACAUCGAAACCUGACGCCUCCGCUGUGCCGGCCGCAUUUGGUGUGAAUGCACCAUAAUGCUCAUCGACAUGAAGGUGGUAAACUGUGCUGCUCUCCAUCACCUCAGCCGGUUAUAGAUUCUAGCAGGAACACAGUCAAUUGUGUUUUCCCACAGUCUGUCCUCUGGAGUGCAUCAAGGUUUAAUUGUUGAACCUCUGCCGUUCAGGCUGUAAAUGCUCACUCUGGCUUAGACAACAAAUCCUAACAAUGCUUCAUGUCACAGAUAAGCAGACGGGUUUCUGUGGUCACAAAGUUCCCAUCAGCCUCUGCUGGGAUGUUUUUAGCGUUUAGUGUGGAGGAUGAAGCUGUUGCCAUGAUGUGUGUCCCUGCACUCGUCUCUCAAACUAGUCCGGUGAAUAACCAACCUCUCGCUCCAGGUCUUGGUCUAGUUCACAGGCGCUGCGGGUGGAAACUCCUCCACCAAAAUCUAAACCAAUGACAGACGGAGCAAGUUAGGAUGACAUCACAUCUCCAGUAUGAUGUCACAAUAGUAAAUAAAAAGAUGUAACAUAAGUAUUUAAAAAA